GCUUAUAGCCAUACUACCCUGUCUGUGCCCGAUCUCGUCUGAUCUCGGAAGCUAAGCAAGGUCGAGUCUGGUUAGUACUUGGAUGGGAGACCGCCUGGGAAUACCAGGUGCUGUAAGCU
rnacentral:rRNA from 1 species